rnacentral:ncRNA from 1 species
GAAAGCCGUAUGCUUUGGAAGAAGCUUGUACAGUUUGGGAAGGGGUUUUGAUUGAUAAAAAAAGACUCUACUUCAAC